UAGGGAAUCUUCGGCAAUGGACGGAAGUCUGACCGAGCAACGCCGCGUGAGUGAAGAAGGUUUUCGGAUCGUAAAGCUCUGUUGUUAGAGAAGAACGUUGGUAGGAGCGGAAAAUCUACCAAGUGACGGUAACUAACCAGAAAGGGACGGCUAACUACGUGCCAGCAGCCGCGGUAAUACGUAGGUCCCGAGCGUUGUCCGGAUUUAUUGGGCGUAAAGCGAGCGCAGGAGGUUCUUUAAGUCUGAAGUUAAAGGCAGUGGCUUAACCAUUGUACGCUUUGGAAACUGGAGGACUUGAGUGCAGAAGGGGAGAGUGGAAUUCCAUGUGUAGCGGUGAAAUGCGUAGAUAUAUGGAGGAACACCGGUGGCGAAAGCGGCUCUCUGGUCUGUAACUGACGCUGAGGCUCGAAAGCGUGGGGAGCAAACAGG
rnacentral:rRNA from 1 species